GCCCUCCUCUCCUGUUUGUCUGUCCGACGUUGCGAUUGGAGUGCGUUCAGACCAUUUUCUCUUCCCAUCUCCAUACAUGCGCCACGCCUCCACCCAGAAUUCCCAAUUCCACGGCCUCCGGGCCUCCUGCCGCCGAAGCAAGCUCGCCGCCUCGACGGAAUUCUUCUGCCCCCUUCCACCGGGCCGGCGUGGAGCCGAGAUCCGCCCCCGCUGAUUCAUUCUUCUGGUCUGGUUAGAGAUUCCAUCGCUCCAUCAACGAAACGAAGGACACAUAAAAGAACAAAGGUGCCUGUGGGUGAAAGGAAGAAGGGACUAAAGGCGAGGAAAUAAUAAUGGGAAAGGGAGAUGUGGCCACUAGGUCCAAAUCCCAGAAAUCGUCGACAUCACAGAAUGAACAGAGUACACCUACUAAUCCUCCUACAGCAUAUCCUGACUGGUCCCAGUUUCAGGCAUACUAUAAUGUCCCUGGUACGGCUCAAAUGACCCCGCCGGCUUAUUUUCAUUCAACGGUGGCUCCAAGUCCUCAGGGGCAUCCAUAUAUGUGGGGUCCACAGAUGAUGCCUCCUUACGGGACACCGCCACCAUAUGCAACGAUGUAUGCUCAAGGCACACCAUAUCAGCAGGCACCUAUGCCACCGGGCUCACACCCAUACAGCCCAUAUCCUGUUCAAGCACCAAAUGGGACAGUUCAAACUCCUACACCUGGUGCUGGAGGGUCAGAGACAGAUAAGUCAAACAAAAAUAAGCGGAAGACUCCCCUGAAGAGAUCCAAAGGAAGCUUAGGUAGUCUGGAUGUAGUUACAGUAAAAGAUAAAACGCCACCUGCAAAACCUUUAGUGUCAUCCUCCAAUGAAGGUUCUUCACAAAGCGAGAGUGGAAGUGGAAGUUAUUCUGGAGGAAGCAGUACAAAUUCUAAAAGUGGUUCACACACAAAGGAUGGUUCUGAGCAGGGCCCAACUAAUGAUGCUAGCAAUAAAGGAGUCACUGCUCAGGGCACGGCAGUUGAGCCCACACAAGUAUCUUCUGGGCCAGUUGUGCUUAACCCUAUGAUGCCAUAUUGGCCUGUUCCCCCUCCCAUGCCUGGCCAAGCAACUGGUGUAAACAUGGGAAUGGAUUACUGGGGUGCUCCUACUUCUGUACCUAUGCAUGGCAAAGCUGUCGCUGCACCGACAUCAGCUCCUUCAUCAAAUUCUCGUGAUAUCGUUCUCAGUGAUCCGGUCAUACAGGAUGAACGAGAAGUGAAGAAACAAAAACGGAAGCAAUCAAACAGGGAAUCAGCUCGUCGCUCUAGAUUGCGCAAGCAGGCUGAAUGGGAGGAAGUAGCCAGUCGAGCUGAUUUGCUGAAGCAGGAGAACAGUUCACUUAAGGAAGAAUUGAAACAACUUCAGGAGAAGUGUGAUAACUUGACCUCAGAAAAUACAUCUUUACAUGAAAAGCUUAAAGCGCUUGAUAGUGAGAAACCAAAUGGAAACUUGUGAAGCAGGGCCUCGCUUUCUGACUGCUGAUAUAAAUUGGAGGUGACAUGAUAGGCCGGAGAUAAUUAGGAGGUGUUCAUGUGUGCAAUUAGAUUUUUGGCUGAGAUGGUAGGAUUGUAUCAUAGGAUUCAACAUGAUGGCUACAGAUUCUUCUUCUUCCAGUCGUGGCAGCUGCGGUGCUCUAUGGUGUGUUUUUUUUCCUGCUUUUAUGUGAGAUGCUACCUUAGCAGUAUGCAAAGAUCCCCAAGUUAUAUUUGAGACUUUGCGGGAUUAGCUUAUAAGAUGCUUGUUGUAGAGCUGCUGGUUGACCUGAACUGAUGCUUUGCUAUAGCGAUGAUUUAUAACAUUCAGAGUUACUUACCAAUGUGUAUACUGCACUGAGUGAUAAGUGGUAUUGAAGGAAUUAUGCACUCCUGCUUGCAUCAUACUCUCUCUGUUCCAAAAUAAGUGGUGGUUUAUUCAAAUUUGAACUAAAACCACGACACUUAUUUUGGAAUGGAGGGAGUACCACUGAAAGAUGGUGUUACAGGAAUUCUGCUUGUACCAUUAAUGUUGUUUCUGAAAAUGUCAGUAGUUUCAGCU
rnacentral:rRNA from 1 species